rnacentral:rRNA from 1 species
AGUAAUGUAUGGGGAUCUGCCCGAUAGAGGGGGAUAACUACUGGAAACGGUGGCUAAUACCGCAUAAUGUCUACGGACCAAAGCGGGGGCUCUUCGGACCUUGCACUAUCGGAUGAACCCAUAUGGGAUUAGCUAGUAGGUGGGGUAAAGGCUCACCUAGGCGACGAUCUCUAGCUGGUCUGAGAGGAUGAUCAGCCACACUGGGACUGAGACACGGCCCAG